UGCAUGUGUUGUCGUGUCUGUAUGUGUGCACGCACGUGUGUGUGUGUGUGUGUGAGGUGUGCGCGUGCGAGUGAGAGGUGUGCAUGUGUUGUUGUGUGCGUGUGUGUGUGUGUGGAGCUCACAGUGCGACAGGGGGCAGCGUGUGUGUGUG